rnacentral:rRNA from 1 species
CCCUUAGAUGUUCUGGGCGGCCCGCGCACUACAUUGGCACUCUCAAUAAGUUCCUAGAUCUAAAACUUUGGGGUAUUCUAUUAAGUGGUGUCGUGACUGGGAUUAACCCUUGCACUUAUUGGUUACGAACGAGGAAUUCCUUGUAAUCGCGGUUUAUCAGCCCGCGUUGAAUGCGUCCCUGCCCUUUGUACACACCGCCCGUCGCUCCUACCGAUGAAUCGUCCGGUGAAGUUCAUGGAGUGGUGGUUGUUCCAGCUGCUGUCGAAGUGAAAUGGACCUCACGAUUUAGAGGAAGGAGAAGUCGUAACA